GUCUAUGGCCAUACCACGUUGAAAGCACCAGUUCUCGUCCGAUCACUGAAGUUAAGCAACGUCGGGCUCGGUUAGUACUUGGAUGGGUGACCGCCUGGGAACACCGAGUGCUGUAGACU
rnacentral:rRNA from 1 species